UACAGGGGGCCCGAGCGUUAAUCGGAAUCACUGGGCUUAAAGGGUGCGUAGGCGGCCAUGCGUGUCUUCCGUGAAAUCCCUCGGCUUAACUGAGGACGUGCGGAAGAAACUGCAAGGCUCGAGUCCGGGAGAGGAGGGUGGAAUUCCCAGUGUAGCGGUGAAAUGCGUAGAUAUUGGGAGGAACACCGGUGGCGAAGGCGGCCCUCUGGACCGGUACUGACGCUGAUGCGCGAAAGCGUGGGUAGCAAACGGG
rnacentral:rRNA from 1 species